UACGUAGGUGGCAAGCGUUGUUCGGAAUUAUUGGGCGUAAAGGGCGCGUAGGCGGUUUGUUAAGUCGGUCGUGAAAGCCCGGGGCUCAACCCCGGAGGGUCGACCGAUACUGGCAGACUAGAGUACAGAAGAGGUAACUGGAAUUCCCGGUGUAGCGGUGAAAUGCGUAGAUAUCGGGAAGAACACCAGAGGCGAAGGCGGGUUACUGGGCUGAUACUGACGCUGAUGCGCGAAGGCCAGGGUAGCAAACGGG
rnacentral:rRNA from 1 species